UCUCUGAUAGCUCAGCCGGUAAAGAAUCUGCCUGCAAUGCAGGAGACCCUGGUUUGAUUCCUGGGUUGGGAA
rnacentral:tRNA from 1 species